UUUUUUUUUUUUUUUUUUGAGAUGGAGUCUUGCUCUGUCACCCAGGCUGGAGUGCAGUGGCCGGAUCUCAGCUCACUGCAAGCUCUGCUUCCCAGGUUGAUGCCAUUCUCCUGCCUCAGCCUCCCAAGUAGCUGGGACUACAGGCGCCCGCCACCACGCCCGGCUAAUUUUUUGUAUUUUUAGUAGAGACGUGUCAGCACCCAGGAGACUCUCAACAAACAUCCUCAAAUAACCAACUGACGUAUGUUCAAACCUUGGGCAAGUUCAUACAUGAGCUCCUGAGCCAACCACCCUUGGCUCUGAAGUCAUGGCCGCUGUAUAAGCUGCACUUCUUUCGUUUAUUUGUGCAGCAGUAUUUGUUAAGUCAGGUUCCACACAGAAAUCUCUAGAAUGCCAUCUCAGAUCAUGGAGGCUGGAGGGCAGACAGGAUAUUACCAGCGACUCUCUUCAUCUUGCAGUUCUAGGAAAAUGAGAAAACCCAUCUUCAGAGAAAAACAUCUGCCUAAAAACCCCCACCCGCGUCUGCAACCAGGGGCUUGCACGGCAAAAAAAACAAAACAAAACAAUAAAACAAAACAAAACAAAAAAACAAAAAACCUGUGGCCUUUUUCUUGUCUGUGGCAAUGGCACUCACAGCACUGGAUAUGGCAGGCACAGGGCUAUGCCCUGAUCCAGCAUUCAAGGCAAGUCUGUGGCCCACAGAGGCUGAGGCCAUAGAGCUCUGUGGGCUCGGGGGCUGGACAGAGUUAUCUCUGACCUUUAUCAGCUUGGCGGACAACAUCACAUGCCAGAAAGAGCAGUCACCAGGCGACUGUGAGUAAGCUCUUAGCCUGAGGCUCAGUGCGCGGUGGGCGUUCAGGAAGUGGUGGCCACUGUCAGGUUGUGACCAGGUAGUUCUCUGCUCAGAGCGUCCGCUGUCUGUCCUGGCAGGUCUGCAUGUCAUGCACUGUGGGCUGUGCACCACGACGCAUACCUUCCGUGUGCCAGGCUCAGAAGUACCAAGUUCAGCAAGUCUCUUCCCUGCCCUUGAGAGCCUGCUGGGAGCAGGGAAGCCACACUCAGCCACACCCUCUCGGUGAGCUUUACUG
rnacentral:lncRNA from 1 species